rnacentral:lncRNA from 1 species
GGCUCUUCACUGAGGUGCUGGAUCACAAUGAAUGUCUUAUUAUCACAGGUACUGAACAGUACAGUGAAUACACGGGCUAUGCUGAAACUUAUCGUUGGGCCCGGAGCCACGAAGAUGGGAGUGAGAAGGAUGAUUGGCAGCGACGCUGCACGGAGAUCGUCGCCAUUGAUGCACUUCACUUCAGACGCUACCUCGAUCAGUUUGUGCCUGAGAAAGUGAGACGUGAGCUUAACAAGGCCAGUAACCUCAUUUCUGAUUCAUCUGGCAGCUGUCCUCUAUUUACUGCCAUUUUAUUAAUGCUCAAAUUAAUGCUUUCUGGUAAUUCUUACAGUGUCAGUACGUCUGCCCAGAGCUCCCCUGAUUUAAUGGUUCUGUCAGCUUGUACAAGAUGUACUUUCCACUUGGUAAUUGUUUGAUUCCGGGCCUGAUAGAUGCUUGAUGUCAGACCUGCACAUGCAUUUAUCUCAUUAGGUAUUUAGUGGAUUUGGAACAUUAUCAUUAUAAAACUGUGUAGAAAGGAAUGAAGGGUGGAGGUAGAUCUGUCACAUGACAUUUUCUCUAAUGGUAUGCUGAUAUCAGGAUAAAAAAAAAUUUAAAGCACCCACAAAUUACGUUUCAAUAUGGAAAAGAAAAAAUGUUAUUUAUUGAUUCAGUAAUCUGACAUGAUAUGACUAGUCUACAAUGCAUAGUUCUGUCUAAUCAGUUCUUUUUUUUG